rnacentral:tRNA from 2 species
GGGUCGGUAGCUCAGUUGGUAGAGCAGCGGACUUUUAAUCCGUUGGUCGUGGGUUCGAAUCCCACCCGGCCCACCA